rnacentral:rRNA from 1 species
GGGGAAUAUUGGACAAUGGGCGAAAGCCUGAUCCAGCCAUGCCGCGUGAGUGAUGAAGGCCUUAGGGUUGUAAAGCUCUUUCAGUGGGGACGAUAAUGACGGUACCCACAGAAGAAGCCCCGGCUAACUUCGUGCCAGCAGCCGCGGUAAUACGAAGGGGGCUAGCGUUGUUCGGAUUUACUGGGCGUAAAGCGCACGUAGGCGGGUCGUUAAGUCAGGGGUGAAAUCCUGGAGCUCAACUCCAGAACUGCCUUUGAUACUGGCGACCUAGAGUCCGGAAGAGGUGAGUGGAACUCCUAGUGUAGAGGUGGAAUUCGUAGAUAUUAGGAAGAACACCAGUGGCGAAGGCGGCUCACUGGUCCGGUACUGACGCUGAGGUGCGAAAGCGUGGGGAGCAAAC